UCCCUAAUAAUCAACACAAUGCAGGAGAAACUGUAAUAUGAACUGCAGCUUUAUAGCCUACUGCUCACAACAUCAUAUAACAACACACAAACUAUCAAUGUAUGAAUCAAACUCACAAGACUGCCGACAAUUUCUUUUCCACGCAUCAUUUUAUUAUAUACAUGUAUGUACAGUCAAAUCAUAUAAAACAGUGAAAUCACUCCGGAACUAUUCCUAUCUGUCUUGCCUGCACUCGAGACGGUGACGUGAGCUCCAGGGAGUCUUCACUCGCAAAAUUCGCUCCUGAUUUGCAUAAAGUUGAAAUAUCUGAACUUUCGUCGCGUGUCUCCCGUCGCUUGACACGCCCAGAGCCAUAUAGAGAGAGAGUUGCGACAACUCCAUAGACUCCAAUGGAACGGUUUUUUUACAGCAAUGGCGGCUCGUGGAGCCUCAAUAGUUCCCGGAAGUAGCAGCCGCGCCGUAGAAGAACAGCAGAACAGACCGCUUCUGAUGUACUUUUAAAAGCACAAAGGGGAUUCAGAUCCUGAAGACUCCAUGCAAUGAUGCUGCACCCUCACUGUCUCUGCUCCUUGGAUUUUGCAAGCUUUUCCUUGCUCCUUAUUUUAUAAACCUUUAAUAAACAUAAACGUUGUGUUGUUUUUUGUUAAAAAAAAAAAAGGGCAGAUACACCUGUAUAUAAUUAACACACAACUUGGCACACAAUCUUUAGUUCUAUUUAGAUUGCUCCUGCUGACUUGAACAUAACUUUCUCCUUUCUGUGUCAGUGGGGAAACCAUGCAUUCAUACUGCUUUCUCUAAACAACUGCAUAAUCCUAAUGCAGCACUGCAAACCAUAGCAGAGACUACAAGAACAUUUAGGAAAGGACAGACGAAGUGCUUGACAUGCAGCUUAUUAUAAAUUUAUAAAUCCAUUGCACUAAAUCAAGUGCAAACGUCAAUGUGUGUGUAUAAUCAUGUUUUAUUUUAGAAUUGAAUAUAUUGUGUAUGAAUAUAUAUAGUAAUACGUGAAUGGGGUUCAUAAGAAUUGUUAACAUUAAGAUUAAUUAAAUUUAACUUAAUUAAAUUUUACAUUUCACUUAUUUGCAAUGGGUUUUUAAAGGCAAUCACCUGUCACCUGCAGGUCUCCUGUCCCUGUGAAACCAUAGUGAACAUGACAUAAUUGCCCUUAACUAACAAACAAGUUUAAAAACAUAAAAAUACUUUAAAACAACUGCAACGCGAUCUUUAAACAAGGUAAUGUUAGCCAGAAAUAUGUUAACAAGGCAGGCAACGCUGGUUGACAACACUAAUCCUCAAAUAUUAGCAGCUUUUAAAAACAACAUUGCUGUAACUACAUACACAUACUACAUUCACAUGUCGGUGUAUUACAUAAAUAUUGUAAACCGAUGCAUUUAUUGACUACAAAUUACCAAAAAUCACGGUUCUGUCUCUCUAACCCUAUCAUUUUGAAUUGCCGCCGAAGCACUUCCUGGAACUAUCUGAAGGCUACACGAAUCACGUGACGAUCAAGCGUUUUGAACUUCCGUUGUCGCAACUCUGGCUGCGUCCGAAAUCGCCUACUCACUGAGUAGGUACUUAAUUUCACAUUUGCAAUAUCUGCACAAAGGAGAUGUCGGACAGCUGCUUGAAGAUCUCACCUUUGGAGAAGACUGACGUAUUACUACUAAAGAUAAGAUUACCCAGAAUGAACAGCAUUGCUAGACCACCCUAACACUUAAUAAUAAAUGCUGACCAAUACUUAAUCAUAUUAAUUUUUUACAGAAAAUAAUGUAUUAUUAAAACAAGCAAAACGUAAUGUUCUGUCAUAUGACAUAGCUAUGCAUGAAUAAACACUAGACAAAUACAACCAAGGUGAACACAUCUCAAUAUACAGUCAAGCAAUGAAUUAAUGCAUGAAUAAAAUAAAUAUAUUUUAUUUACAGACAAUAGAAAACAUAAAUGAGUUAUAGAAUGAAUAAAAGUAAUCAUCACAAUAAAUAAACACAUAUACAAGUCAACAACACAUGAAACAAAGCUUUAUUCAAACUUAUUGUUCUUACAAUCGCAUAUUUCAGCCCUGCUGCCAUCUCAACACAGCUGUGCCAAUUCUGCAGCUUUAUUCUGAUGAAGCAGCUGAUGAACACCUUCACCUGUCUUUGCCAUCUAUAAUGUCCCUCAUUGCUGCUCCUCUCAAUGGGGACAUCUUUGAUCCAGAGGAUGAGGAAGAUGAUGAUGGACCCCUGGACCCCUCAACUUUGAAGCAAGAGUGGGAGAAGAUGUGCGGGACAAUCUGGCUGCUGCUGUGUCUGCUCCAAACAUUCAUGUGCUCUCCAUGAACAAGACUACAUGUAAAACAUUUAAACUGAUUGAAACGUUUAAUAAUUCAUGUCAGAAUUCUGUUUCCUGCCAUAUUUCAUUCAAUAUUUUUACAAUUAUGUGCUA